UUUUGGACAAUGGGGGCAACCCUGAUCCAGCAAUGCCGCGUGAGUGAAGAAGGCCUUCGGGUUGUAAAGCUCUUUUGUCAGGGAAGAAACACCGGCUCUAACACAGUCCGGGAAUGACGGUACCUGAAGAAUAAGCACCGGCUAACUACGUGCCAGCAGCCGCGGUAAUACGUAGGGUGCAAGCGUUAAUCGGAAUUACUGGGCGUAAAGCGUGCGCAGGCGGUUAUACAAGACAGGCGUGAAAUCCCCGGGCUUAACCUGGGAAUGGCGCCUGUGACUGUAUAGCUAGAGUGUGUCAGAGGGGGGUAGAAUUCCACGUGUAGCAGUGAAAUGCGUAGAUAUGUGGAGGAAUACCAAUGGCGAAGGCAGCCCCCUGGGAUGACACUGACGCUCAUGCACGAG
rnacentral:rRNA from 1 species